UACGGGGGGGGCAAGCGUUGUUCGGAAUUACUGGGCGUAAAGGGUUCGUAGGUGGCCAACUAAGUCAGACGUGAAAUCCCUCAGCUUAACUGGGGAACUGCGUCUGAUACUGGUCGGCUUGAGUGCAGGAGAGGAACGCGGAAUUCCAGGUGUAGCGGUGAAAUGCGUAGAUAUCUGGAGGAACACCGGUGGCGAAGGCGGCGUUCUGGACUGCAACUGACACUGAGGAACGAAAGCCAGGGGAGCAAACGGG
rnacentral:rRNA from 1 species